rnacentral:tRNA from 1 species
GGAGGGAUGCGAGAGCGGUCUAAUCGGCUCGCUUGGAAAGCGACGCGUCGCGAAAGCGGCACGAGGGUUCGAACCCCUCUCCCUCCG